rnacentral:lncRNA from 1 species
AUUGUCAUCAGAAUCGCAUCAUGGUGGCUCUCCUAUACAUUGGGUGCUUCCAGCAGGAAUGAGUGCUAAAAUGCUUGGAGGUGUUUUUAAAAUUGACUGGAUUUGCAGGCGUGAAUUACCCUUUACUAAGUCAGCUCAUCUCACCAAUCCCUGGAAUGAACAUAAGCCAGUAAAGAUUGGACGUGAUGGACAGGAAAUUGAACUUGAAUGUGGAACCCAGCUUUGUCUUCUGUUUCCCCCUGAUGAAAGUAUUGACUUGUAUCAGCUCAUUCAUAAAAUGCGUCACAAGAGAAGAAUGCAUUCUCAGCCUCGAUCAAGAGGACGUCCAUCCCGUCGAGAACCAGUCCGGGAUGUGGGAAGGUUAGAAACGUUCUUUGGACUGAUAAUAGGCACAUGUAUCGGGAUAACAUGAUGGAGGAAUGUGAUUCGUCAAAAGUUUGUCCUGCGGUAAAGAAGAAAGAGAAAAUCCUCAAAUCAAGCUGCAUGGACUAGUUUGUGGCUUCAUUGAGGAUUUCACAUGGUCACCUUGGUCUCAGUCAUUUUUUUCAAGAGGAAAAUGGGGAUCUUUCCUAAUGCAGAAAAAAAUAAUUUACUAACAAGUGAUGGCCAGUUUAGACUAGAUAGUCUCUCUGAUAAUAAAUACAGCAAGUGAAACGAGGUAGGCAUUUUGUUGCUAAGAACAGGCUAGAAAGGAUGAAGAGGAAGUCUUUAUUUGCAAAAAUUGUUAAUAUUUUAUAAAGCCUUUUCUU